CCCUGGUUUCCACUUGGCGCUGUGUCGGCCGCCGUCUGUCCGUCUGUACGGCUGAUUCCUUAAACCUGAGGUGGAGGACAAACGGCAAACACACGGAGGAAACUACCUGAGUCAAGACUGGUAAUGUUUGUCAGUUAGAAAAUACAACAUCAGAAGAGCGGAAGAGAAACACAGACCCACAGAGCAUCGAGGGAUUUUAAGAAGUCACCUCGUCGCUGAAGACGGAGUCGCAGAAGAGACGAGAGGAGCGUUUGGCAGAACGAGCCGUGAAGGGCACGGACUUUAGAGCUGAAGACACCAGGGACGGGAAGAGAGAGAGAGACAAGCAAGGACAAAUCAAAGUGAGGGUGUUGUGUACCUGUGAUGAUGUCCUCGAUGGCUCCGUCCUUCCCCUCCCUCACCAGAGGAGACACCUGCCUCUUCUUCAGCUCUGCUAUCAGAUCCAUCUGUGGCAGUUUGGACGUCACUGGAACCUGAAACAUCAAACGUGUCGAUGUCAAACAGAACCUCCUCCCCGUGAACUCACAGGCUGUAUUAGCGGGACGCUCUCGGGGAAAUUGCCCAUGAAGGUGAGAGUGCUGAUACGCUGGGAAAGCCGUGGGAUCUUGCUGAAGCGCACCAUGAAGCGGUCCUCCUCG